AGUGAACGCUGGCGGUAGGCCUAACACAUGCAAGUCGAACGGCAGCACAGUAAGAGCUUGCUCUUACGGGUGGCGAGUGGCGGACGGGUGAGGAAUACAUCGGAAUCUACUUUUUCGUGGGGGAUAACGUAGGGAAACUUACGCUAAUACCGCAUACGACCUACGGGUGAAAGCAGGGGAUCUUCGGACCUUGCGCGAUUGAAUGAGCCGAUGUCGGAUUAGCUAGUUGGCGGGGUAAAGGCCCACCAAGGCGACGAUCCGUAGCUGGUCUGAGAGGAUGAUCAGCCACACUGGAACUGAGACACGGUCCAGACUCCUACGGGAGGCAGCAGUGGGGAAUAUUGGACAAUGGGCGUAAGCCUGAUCCAGCCACACCGCGUGGGUGAAGAAGGCCUUCGGGUUGUAAAGCCCUUUUGUUGGGAAAGAAAAGCAGCAGGUUAAUACCCCGCUGUUCUGACGGUACCCAAAGAAUAAGCACCGGCUAACUUCGUG
rnacentral:rRNA from 1 species